UCACAGAGCAAGAUGGAAAAAUAUAGGCCUCAUUAGUCUCAUGCCAACCAGAAUGGGCCUUCAACUUAUGGUGCUGGUUUGAUUGAAUGGACCAUUGCAUGAGUGGAAAAUCUGAACUUGGCUCUGAACUCUGCCUCAGCCAUCGGGUGCCAUGUGGUCAACAUAGGGGCUGAGGACCUGAAGGAGGGGAAGCCUUAUCUGGUCCUGGGACUUCUGUGGCAAGUCAUCAAGAUUGGAUUGUUUGCUGACAUUGAACUCAGCAGAAAUGAAGCUCUGAUUGCUCUUUUGAGAGAAGGUGAGAGCCUGGAGGAUUUGAUGAAACUCUCCCCUGAAGAGCUCUUGCUGAGGUGGGCUAAUUACCACCUGGAAAAUGCAGGCUGCAACAAAAUUGGCAACUUCAGUACUGACAUCAAGCUGACUGACUUCUACAGCAAUAUAAAGGACUCAAAAGCUUAUUACCACCUGCUUGAGCAGGUGGCUCCAAAAGGAGAUGAAGAAGGUGUUCCUGCUGUUGUUAUUGACAUGUCAGGACUGCGG
rnacentral:sRNA from 1 species